CACGCGGGCCCACCCCGAGGCGGCCGCCCGCGCACUGCAGCUGCGCUGCGGCGUGUGCGACCGCAGCUUCACCCACGCCAACUCGCUGCGCCGUCACUCGCGCGUGCACUCCGGGGAACGCAACUACCUGUGCAACGUGUGCGGCAAGGCGCUCACGUCGCGCGAGCACCUGAAGUUCCACAUCCGCAUCCACACCGGCUACAAGCCCAACAUCUGCAAGACGUGCGGCAAGGGAUUCGCAAAGAAGUGUAACCUGAAGCUGCACGAGCGCGUGCACUCGGGGGAGAAGCCCUACGUGUGCUCGCACUGCGGGAAGGCCUUUUCGCAGCGCUCCACGCUCGUCAUACACGAAAGGUACCACAGCGGCGCGCGGCCGUUCUCGUGCUCGCUGUGCGGGCGCGGGUUCGUGGCUCGCGGGCUGCUCACCAUGCACCUGAAGAGCGCCUGCGUCGACCUGCCGCGCCCGCACCCCCCGCCGGCCCCCGCGCAGCAGCGGCCGCUCAAGUGCGUCCACACACACACUACACACGCACACACAACACACCUCACCAUGCACCUGAAGAGCGCCUGCGUCGACCUGCCGCGCCCGCACCCCCCGCCGGCCCCCGCGCAGCAGCGGCCGCUCAAAUUAAGUUCCCGAUAAGGCUGUGGAGGUAGUGAUAAAUUCGAGUGCUCGCUAUAUGCCCGGCGUGGUGGCUGGGGACUAAUGUAUAAAUAUUAUUUAAGAAGAAAAUCAGAUUACUAUUAUAUAAAAAAAUGUCUUGAAGUAUCAUUAAAAUGAAAUCUCUCAUCUGCAACAAGAUUUAGAUUUCGUCUCAACUAAUGCAGAAAAUAUUAAAAAAUAUUCUUGUCUUGACUGAUAGGUCGUCAUUUUAUUUAUUCUAGUUUUCUAACGUGGACGAA
rnacentral:misc_RNA from 1 species